rnacentral:lncRNA from 1 species
GAAAAGGGUCUGCUUUGGGUAUAAAUAGGAGUCAUUCAGGACUAAUGUUGGGGUGGGAUUUUGAACAUUAGAAAUUCAAUAUUGAGAGUUUAGCUUUUUUUACACUAAGAUUUCAAAUUGAAAUUGGCAAUCUUCGGAUAGGCUGAUUUUUCAGAACUUGAAAUUCAGUCCUUGAGAGCUAAAAACUGAAAGUGAAGCCUUUUCUUUACUGUUGAAAAUCAGAACUGUGGUACUGCUUCUGUGGAUUGUAUUUGGUACUACUGAUUUUCACAUUGGCUUUCCUGGGUAUUCUGUUUGGUGUGGUACUGCUUCUGUGGAUUGCAUUUGGUACUACUGAUUUUCACAUUGGCUUUCCUGGGUUUUCUGUUUGGUUUUUGAGUACUGUUUCAUUGAGUUCCUAGGUUUCUGCUUGGGUUUCUGGUCUGCACUGGUUUUCUGCUACUGUUAUAUUGGUUUUUACUAUCUCUGGUGCAUCUGUGUUGCUGUUUGGUUUUUUGAAACUGUUAUUGGUUUUCCUGGGAACUGUUCUGUUGGGUUUCUGCCUAUUGCUGGUUAAUCUGCCUGCUAUUGUUAUUUCACCUGCUGAUCCUCCUCUUCUUCCUCUAUUUGUCUAAUUCCAAAUACACUUUCGAACCACUAUGAUGUAGCUGUAGCUUAGUAGGCAGAGAAUCAGUUGUGUAGUCUUGUUUUGAA